AAUCUGGAUCCAGGAACCUGUCACUCGGGGAGCACGGCUUGGGGCACUCAGGCAGGCGUACAGAGGUCCCCCCCCCCGCCCUGCCCCCACCAGCCUGCCCUGAGGCUGAAGCAGCCGCCCAGCCCCACACGCACCGCCUUGGCCUUUCCAUCCGCGUUCUGUUUGUCUUACUUUGGGGCCUUAAGCACCUUCAAGGACCAUCACCGGGUGGCAGCACCCGCUCGUGGACUUGCCCGGCCCAGCUGUGGAGGGCAGCCUCCGGGUGACCCGCCACCCCCACGGACGCCUGGCUUUCUGCCUUCUGGCCCAGGCGGCGGUGAGGCAGUUGGCUUCCGUGGGUUGGUCCAAACUUCCUCUGGUGAACAUGCUCUCUCCGCCCUGGCCUCGGAGUCCUGGGCAGCUGGACAGGUCGCCAGACCCCCACCCACUCGUCCGUCAGGGGCUCCUGGUCCUCUACGGUGCGGGAAAUGCCAGGGUACCGGGCACUGCCCGUGUGUGGUCCCCUUUCCUGGGUCUGUGAAGUCUUUCCUUGGGAGCGGCAGAGACCAACCCCCUAAAAUUCCUACCUUCCCGGAGGCUCAGCUCCAUGUUACCUUCUCAGGGAGCCUCCAGGAUUUCCCCGGGCCCCUACUUGUCCCCAGCAUCCUGGGUGAGCUGCCCCAGUGUCCUUUCCCAUCACACCGUGCCCGCCACUGGAGGGCAGGGACAGGUGUCAGCUGUCUCAAGUGUCCAGGGAAAGCGGCAGUGAGGAAAUCACAAGGACCCUCCAGUGUCACCCAAAUGUCGGUCACACUAGAGGCCUCAGAACAUGGAUCAUCCUCUUCCGUGGGGAUUUGGAAAGAGCCCCUUCGUUACUGUCACGCACCAGCCAGCCUUUGUCAACAAACAUCUCCCCCCACCAAAGCCCAGUGGCCGAUUUCCCCGGCUAGCCUGCCCUGCUCCUUGGGUCUUCUCGCCUGGAGCUGGUCCGAGACAUGCCUCUUUGCAGAGGGAGAGAGCCGGAAAACUGGCGGACACACGGGGCUCUGA
rnacentral:lncRNA from 1 species